UACAGAGGGGGCAAGCGUUAUUCGGAAUUAUUGGGCGUAAAGGGCGCGUGGGCGGCUUUUCAAGUGACGGGUGAAAUCCCUCGGCUUAACCGAGGAACUGCCUGUCAGACUGGAAGGCUUGAGACCGGGAGAGGUGAGUGGAAUUCCCAGUGUAGCGGUGAAAUGCGUAGAUAUUGGGAGGAACACCAGUGGCGAAGGCGGCUCACUGGACCGGAACUGACGCUGAGGCGCGAAAUCGUGGGGAUCAAUCAGG
rnacentral:rRNA from 1 species